AACGCGAAGAACCUUACCUGGGUUUGACAUGCACAGGACGCUGGUAGAGAUAUCAGUUCCCUUGUGGUCUGUGUGCAGGUGGUGCAUGGCUGUCGUCAGCUCGUGUCGUGAGAUGUUGGGUUAAGUCCCGCAACGAGCGCAACCCUUGUCUCAUGUUGCCAGCGGGUAAUGCCGGGGACUCGUGAGAGACUGCCGGGGUCAACUCGGAGGAAGGUGGGGAUGACGUCAAGUCAGCAUGGCCCUUACGUCCCGGGCUACACACGUGCUACAAUGCGCCGAACAACGAGCUGCGAACCCGCGAGGGUAAGCCAAUCUCUUAAAUCGGCGCUCAGUUCGGAUUGAAGGCUGCAACUCGCCUUCAUGAAGUCGGAAUCGCUAGUAAACGCAGAUCAGCUACGCUGCGUUGAAUACGUUCCCGGGCCUUGUACACACCGAUAGC
rnacentral:rRNA from 1 species